rnacentral:SRP_RNA from 1 species
GGGUGGACUAGGUCGGGCGGUUAGGCCCCGCUCGUCACCCGUGAGGCAGUCUUCAGCGGGGACCGAACACCGGGCACGUCCGGUCAGACCGGCACGGGCCUCGGGAGCCAACGUGGAAGCCUCGUCCGACGGGGACAGCGGCCCACUGCGCCCGCUCGCAGGAGCGGUCCGUCGUGGUUCGUCGGCGGUAACGGGUCAGGCGCGGAAGCGAGCAGCCCAUCGCCGGACGCCAGUCGCUCGUCGGAUCGCGGGGUGGAGAAGGCAACCGGGAUACCCCGUGUCGGAACGCCGGGCAAGCCCGCUCGUCCACCA